rnacentral:rRNA from 1 species
ACGAACGCUGGCGGCGUGCUUCACACAUGCAAGUCGAACGGAAAGGCCCUGCUUUUGUGGGGUGCUCGAGUGGCGAACGGGUGAGUAACACGUGAGUAACCUGCCCUUGACUUUGGGAUAACUUCAGGAAACUGGGGCUAAUACCGGAUAGGAGCUCCUGCUGCAUGGUGGGGGUUGGAAAGUUUCGGCGGUUGCGGAUGGACUCGCGGCUUAUCAGCUUGUUGGUGGGGUAGUGGCUUACCAAGGCUUUGACGGGUAGCCGGCCUGAGAGGGUGACCGGCCACAUUGGGACUGAGAUACGGCCCAGACUCCUACGGGAGGCAGCAGUGGGGAAUAUUGCACAAUGGGCGGAAGCCUGAUGCAGCAACGCCGCGUGCGGGAUGACGGCCUUCGGGUUGUAAACCGCUUUCGCCUGUGACGAAGCGUGAGUGACGGUAAUGGGUAAAGAAGCACCGGCUAACUACGUG